CUGGAUAAGGAAAUAAUGAGAUCGACAGAGCUUCUUCGGAACAGCAAGGAAUUCUUGAUGCCAGACUUGAAGGGCGAGAGUCGCCGAUCAUCCAUCGCUGAAUCUUAUCAAGAGGGGAAAAUGCCAACCGGCCAAUUUGAUAAUGUUCUGCAAUGGCUGUCCACGCUUCAGAUCAGCAAAAACGCCGAGGACGAGUUGACGCUCAACUUCUCCCAGACGUCAGGAUACAGAUCUGUGCUUCCACAAGACGAGUUUUACGCUGAAGCUGAUAUUCCAGAAUGAAUCGUCCAAUGUAACCAAUGUUGUUAUUGAAGUUUAACCACUGCAUCACGAUGGUUGAUUCAGUUCUGUGGUAAUCUGGUGGGUUAUUGUUAGAAGUCUUCUUGUGUGGGAGUCCUGGGAGGAGAAAGCUAGAUGCAUCAGUCCAUGUACCAAGGCCGGUCAUCUAGAAAACAGAGGGCCGCUGGUGACCCAGUCCAGUUGUCCUUGAGCAAGAUCCUAACCCCAAAUUGCUCCAGAUGGUAUUUCUGUAAUGCAAUUUUGUUUUGGUUGCUUGAGAAAGUAAUUCAAGGUGAAGGGAAGGCACCCUGGUUAAUCUCCCUGGGUUUAUAUUCAUGGGAAAGUUGCAGAAUUUUGUAUCUAAGGUUGUCACAAUACCAAAAUUUUAAAUGAUUCUAAUAUUAAAAAAUUUAUACUCCAUACCGCCCUGUGAUGAGCUGGCGACUUGUCCAGGGUGUACCCCACCUCUCACCCAUUGUCAGCUGGGAUAACCUCCAGCCCCACUGUGACCCCAAAGAGGAUACACGGUAACAGAUAAAGGAUGGAUGGAUACUCCAUACCUCUUUUCAUAACAAGGCAAACAAGUCGAAAGAUCAUUUUUUUCCUUGUUUGAAAACAACCACUUGCACACAAUAGAGGAGACUUAAUGUAGCCGAUCAGAAGCAAUGUGGUACUGAAAUACGUCGACAUUAUCAGCUUGUAAUAUAAAAGCUGUGUCCAUGUUUUCAAUGUAUUACCAGAUAAUGGCGGUCUCUCUGAGUUAUCAGUGGACCUCACAGGAAGAGGAGAUUGUCCACUAGUUAAUCGAUUGUGGAUGGCGCAGUUCCAAUUGUAGAUUUGUUUUUAAUAACGUUGGUACUUUAGAUAGUAUCGAAUGUGUAAAUAAUGGAGAUCGUAUCGUUUUAAAAACGUGGUACCAAAAAACAUUUGACAAACCAUAGCGUACCUCAAACUUUCCACUGAAUCAAUAACAAUGUGUAAAGUAUUUACUUACAUUUUGAAACUAAUUAAUCAGUUGAGUUGAGUCAGUGCUUCUUGCACUGCUGUUAUAGCAAUAAUAAAUCAUGUUUUUAAUGGUGUGAAUCAAACUGCCAUCUUUUUGUUUGUCAAUUAUAGUUCGCUGUAACUAUUACUUUCAUAAAUGGUAAAUUGGACAAUGGACAAAAAAAAUGUUUAAGGUGUUUCUUCAUUAAAAAGGUGUUUUGGUUAAAA